rnacentral:rRNA from 1 species
UCAUUAUCGUAGGGCUUCGGCCCUGUCGAGAUAGAACCCUUGCCUUUUUGAGUACCUUUCGUUUCCUCGGCAGGCUCGCCUGCCAAUGGGGACCACAAAAAACACUUUGCAGUACCUGUAACAGUCUGAACAAACAAACAAAAAUUAAAACUUUCAACAACGGAUCUCUUGGUUCUGGCAUCGAUGAAGAACGCAGCGAAAUGCGAUAAGUAGUGUGAAUUGCAGAAUUCAGUGAAUCAUCGAAUCUUUGAACGCACAUUGCGCCCUUUGGUAUUCCUUAGGGCAUGCCUGUUCGAGCGUCAUUUAAACCUUCAAGCUAAGCUUGGUGUUGGGUGACUGUCCGCUUCACGGCGGACUCGCCUCAAAAUUAUUGGCGGCCGGUACAUUGGCUUCGAGCGCAGCAGAAACGCGAACUCGGGCCCGUCGUAUUGGCUCCCAGAAGCUAUCUUCACAAUUUUGACCUCGGAUCAGGUAGGGAUACCCGCUGAACUUAAGCAUAUCAAUAAGCGGAGGA